AAUUAUGUGACAUGACUUUACCUUCAGGUAAAGUUUUACCAAAACUUCUUUCAAUGGGUCGGUUUGCAGCGUUCUGAAACCUGCCAGUUCACACCAAUGAGACAAGACGGAAUGGUGUAUCAUCUCCAUAGCAACGACUCUUUGUUCUUCCAUCCUAACUUACGACUUCCAGGCUUUGUGUAGCUGGAUAUAUCAUUUGUUGCGUCUAAAUAUGAAGUUGAUAGUGAUAGUGAGAUGCUUGCUGCACUGUAUUUCUAUUAGAGCUGAAAC